AACGAACGCUGGCGGCAGGCCUAACACAUGCAAGUCGAGCGAGGACUUCGGUUCUAGCGGCGGACGGGUGAGUAACGCGUGGGAAUGUGCCCUUCUCUACGGAAUAGCCCUGGGAAACUGGGAGUAAUACCGUAUACGCCCUUUUGGGGAAAGAUUUAUCGGAGAAGGAUCAGCCCGCGUUGGAUUAGGUAGUUGGUGGGGUAAUGGCCUACCAAGCCGACGAUCCAUAGCUGGUUUGAGAGGAUGAUCAGCCACACUGGGACUGAGACACGGCCCAGACUCCGACGGGAGGCAGCAGUGGGGAAUAUUAGACAAGGGGGGCAAACCUGAACUAGCCAUGCCGAGUGAGUGAUGAAGGCCUUAGGGUUGUAAAGCUCUUUCAGCUGGGAAGAUAAUGACGGAACCAGCAGAAGAAGCCCCGGCUAACUCCG
rnacentral:rRNA from 1 species